ensembl:lncRNA
GGAGGGGAGUGGGGAAGUGGGAGGUAAUAUUAAACUGUGCCCCCUUCCUACGUAGGAGGAGGUGCCGAAACUGACUCGCUCGUUUGGUAACUGUAAGCGGGGUACUUUCAGAAAUGCAUAUCUCACUCAAAAAAUCAUGUACAGACUUUUUUCAAAGUUUCUAUGUUGCUGGGAGCACCAAAGACCCGAAACAACACCCCGAAUCCCAGGAAAAGUGUUGUUUUCAUAAUAUUUCCCCUUUAAACACGUGGCGGACCAGGAAAUGCUCUAAACCUGUCCUUUAUGUUGCUGACCCAUUGUGCAGUCGGACCUUGAUGCUGUGACAACGGACAAGUCUUCUUCCUCUGUCCUUUUCCCCUGCCUCUGUUCAGUAUGUUCAGUGUUGUUAAAUCAUUUCUCUUUUUUUUUUAUUAGUUACUGUUCUUAUUGUGUUCUUGUUAGUGUGAUGUUUGAAUAAACUUGCCUGUUGCAAUGUUGGUAUAAUGUUUGUAUAAUUACUGUUAUACAACUGUUACUGUUUCAAUGUGACCCAGACCAUAUUUCUCAUUUAACAAACAUGUGUAGCUUAUAAUGUGUUGCAUGGCAGAGCAAUUACGGUAUAUUCAAAGGCUUAAAACAAACCCAUCUGUAAUAAUCCUUGACCACGCGGGGCGCUCGUAGGCGAGUCCAGAAUGAAUGGGAGCCAACGGGGUUUUAUCCUCAGAAUCCACUUUUCUCACGAUGUAAUUUUUUGUCAAGUAAUUUUAAAGUUGCUAUCAAAGGGUGGGGCUAAGAUAAUAAACUCAGCUGAAUAUUGCAUUUUUUAAGGUCACGUAUCUGUUCUAAAAAG